GGGCCUGAAGCUCAACGGUUGAGCAGGCGGCUCAUAACCGCUUGGUUGCGGGUUCGAAUCCCGCCGGGCCCA
rnacentral:tRNA from 2 species